AUCGGACCUUCUCUGCCACCAACUGCUAGGGUUUGCAGAGUUUCAAGUUGCCUCUGUCGUUGGUAAUCUGAAGUCUGAAUUUCCAAUCGACAAGGAAAUGAAAGCCAAAAAUUGUUAACGGUUGAAACUUUUCUGCAUCUCUCAGCCUCCUUCAGGAAACCUUUUUCCUCAAUAUUUUCUUGUUUUUAACUUGGGUUCGUCGACCGCCAACCUCAACUAGUUUGGGAUAAAGGAGAUGUUGAAGUUGAUUCGUUUGUUUCAUGUGAAUAUAGAUAGUUACAUUAGUGCAAAAGAAUUUUAUCAGUGUUCAUAAUCCUCGGUUGAUAUGAUCAUUGGAGACUUAAGCAUUCGCCUAGUAGGCAUCUCACAUUUCCAUUUGACUUUGCAGCAGCAUGUAGAUGAUAAAGAAUUAGUUAGCUUGGCUUUAUUUCAUGUUAUGUCUCAUAGUCUUAGUGUGCUGAUUGCGGGCCUUGUUAAUUUCUAUAGUUACUGAUUGUGGUCCUUGUUCAAUGAUAAUCAUUUUGGACCAAAUGAUCCUAUUAUUCAUGUUUCCUUAAUUCCAUGAACUCUACAAAGUUGAUGAAAAUAUUUCCUCUUUUCGAGAGAGAAAGGGUAGUCAGAGCAUGUUUAAUUGUGGUCAAGUUGGCCUCUUGGUUUAGUACCGUGAGCAAGAAAGGGUCGUUGGUUUCCAAAUGAAAGUUUAAAAGAUGUCCUUUGUAUUUCCGAUUAAUACAUCAUCAGUCAACAAGUAGCCCUUCUGGGGAGACUAAUGAGGACUAUUUCCUCGUAUUCCCCAUUCAACGCUCAGAAGAGCAAGAUGUAGUGGUUAAUUGUUCCGUCAGUGGCUAUCCCAAUUUUCUCGGCAUAGAAUGUAAAGGUAUUAAGGGGAAAGCUUCUUGUGCAUUAUCUAAGUUCAUCAAGCAUUUGAAGCAGAGAACGGUAGUUAUUCAGCUUACUUCAGCCUGUAUUGGUGGUCACCUCCUACACCAAGAAAAGAACUUAAGUUCUUUUGAUGUUAAGCUUGCUUCCAGCUAGGAAGGGCAGUUUUUUAUAGUGUUCCUGAUCAUCUAGUGCCAGUUCUCGUCUUGAUAACUUCCAGAUUAAUGUCACUAGUAGCUGCAUUCAAGGAUACUUUAAAUACAUGGUGUAAAAUGGUCAUGCCCCUCAACUUUCCAUUUCCCCUAUGUUAGGUGAGUCAAAAAUUAUUUGGUACUUUCUACUUCAUUAAGAUCUAUAAUCCACCCUGGCAACAGCUUUCCGUUAAUAUUUACGGUUAUUUGUCAGCGUAUGCAUGAAGGAGAUAAACUAUCACAUUGAAGUUCAGUAUAAUAUAAUUCCCAAAGCUACUUUUUAUUCUUUCCAGCCAACCAUUUCUGAGUUAUUGAAACAAAAAACAGAGCUCUUAAUUGGGGUCUCUCUAUUUUAUUCGGGCAUGGGGCUACCAUUUAAACUUUGUUUGAACCACCCAUGCUAAAUCUCAAACAUUAUUUUAUUGAUUGAGCACCCGAAUUUUUCUGAAUUUGACUUUCAUCCAGCAAUGUCAUUUUUGUGAUGUUAACUUUUUUAGUAGUAUCAUGUAAUAAUGUUAAACCAACACGUCAAAUUCAAGGGAAAGUAAUUAAUAAUAUUGAACAUCAUAAUUUUCUGCCUGAAUUUCCCUGGACCCCUUCAACUUGUAAUGAUUUUAAACAUAUUGAAGGACAGACGGGUGAGGUUUUCUAGAAGCAAUGUUUUUUUGAGGUUUGAUAAUUUAAUUUAUUAAUUAAAAGAUCUCUUGUAAGUGAACCGAACCAAAAAGAAUAACCUAGUAUAGUAUUUCUAUAACCUUCUCCCAGCCAGCUACCCAUUUAGAACAUACCAUUACGGAAUAGAAGGGUUCACAUCUGUUAUCCAGAUAUCCUUGGAGCAAAGGACGUUUGCUCUGAAUUUGUGGGAUAGGUUAUAAGAUAUGUUAAUGAUUAAUCAGGCUAAGCAAGAUAAAAUUUCGAGGACACAAACUAUACACAAAACAAAAACGCUGACUAAAUUUUGAUAGUUGGUACAACCAUGGUGCUUAUGUUGAAAUUGUGGGUAUAAAACACUUGUCACUAAUCAGAUUACUUUGAGUUAAGAUGAUUAUAAAUUGAUGAA